UCGCUUCAGUACACAGUGUGUAUCCUUGGUAUCAUGUGCAUAUAGGUUUAAUAAGUGAUCCCAUUGCACAUGAUAGUGGGGCUACAAGCUGUGGCAAUACUGC